rnacentral:piRNA from 1 species
UGUCAGUGUGUUCCUUUCAACAUCCAGCUGC